rnacentral:rRNA from 1 species
GAUGAACGCUGGCGGCGUGCCUAAUACAUGCAAGUCGAGCGAACAGAUGAGGAGCUUGCUCCUCUGACUUUAGCGGCGGACGGGUGAGUAACACGUGGAUAACCUACCUAUAAGACUUGGAUAACUUCGGGAAACCUUAUCUAAUACCGGAUAAUAUAUUUAACCGCAUGGUUCAAUAGUGAAAGACGGUUUUGCUGUCACUUAUAGAUGGAUCCGCGCCGCAUUAUCUAGUUGGUAAGGUAACGGCUUACCAAGGCAACGAUGCGUAGCCGACCUGAGAGGGUGAUCGGCCACACUGGAAAUGAGACAAGGUCCAGAAUCCUAAGGGAGGCAGCAGUAGGGAAUCUUCCGAAAUGGGCGAAAGCCUGAAGGAGCAAAGCCGCGUGAGUGAAGAAGGUAUUAGGAUCGUAAAACUCUGUUAUUAGGGAAGAAAAAAUGUGUAAGUAACUAUGAACGUCUUGACGGUAACUAAUCAGAAAGCCACGGCUAACUACGUG